CAUGCAAGUCGAACGAUGAAGCCUUAGCUUGCUAAGGUGGAUUAGUGGCGCACGGGUGAGUAAUAUAUAGAUAAUGUGCCCCUUAGUCUGGGAUAGCCAUUGGAAACGAUGAUUAAUACUAGAUACUCCUUUUAAGCCUAAGCUUAUUUGGGAAAGUUUUUUCGCUAAGGGAUCAGUCUAUAUCGCAUCAGUUAGUUGGUGGGGUAAUGGCCUACCAAGACAAUGACGCGUAGCGGGUUUGAGAGGAUGAUCCGCCACACUGGUACUGAGACACGGACCAGACUCCUACGGGAGGCAGCAGUGAGGAAUAUUGCACAAUGGGGGAAACCCUGAUGCAGCAACGCCGCGUGGAGGAUGACGCAUUUCGGUGUGUAAACUCCUUUUAUGAGUCAAGAAAAUGACGGUAGCUCAUGAAUAAGCACCGGCUAACUCCGUGCCAGCAGCCGCGGUAAUACGGAGGGUGCAAGCGUUACUCGGAAUCACUGGGCGUAAAGGACGCGUAGGCGGGUUAUCAAGUCAGGUGUGAAAUCCCUACAGCUUAACUGUAGAACUACACUUGAAACUGGUAACCUAGAGUAUGGGGAGGGGGAGAUGGAAUUA
rnacentral:rRNA from 1 species